CAUCUGACCUUGACCUCAUUUUCAUGGUUCAGUGGUUAUAGUUAAGUUUUUGUGUUUUGGUCUGUUUUUCUUAUACUGUAUGCCAUAGGUCUACUAUAUUUGGUGUAUGGAAUGAUUGUAAGGUGUACAUGUCUAGCGGGCAGGUGUCAUCUGACCUUGACCUCAUUUUCAUGGUUCAGUGGUCAAAGUUAAGUUUUUUGAGUUUUGGUCAUUUUUCUAAUACUAUAUGCAAUAGUUCAACUAUAUUUGGUGUAUGGAAAUAUUUUAUGAUCUAUUUGGCAGUCACACAGGUUUUAUUUAACCUUGACCCCAUUUUCAAGGUUCAUUGCUCAGUGUUAAGUUUUUGUGUUUUGGUCU